AACGCACCUUGCGCUCCCGGGUCAUUCCUGGGAGCAUGCUUGUUUGAGUGUCGCUUUACCUCUCAGCCCCGCCUUGGCUUACCCCAAGGUUGUAUCAAAGGGUUGGAUCUUGACGCUUCUGUCGUGGGCUUCUUUGAAAGCCAUCACCGACUGCGUUGAAAUUGAACAAGCUGCAUCUUUGUUGUUGCCGGUUUGACCCGUUGUCGUAAUAAAACAAUUCAAUGGGGACGGCAGCCAGAACGAGCUUACCACAAAUUACAAUUUUAUAAAAUGACCUCAAAUCAAGCAGGACUACCCGCUGAACUUAA
rnacentral:misc_RNA from 1 species